rnacentral:lncRNA from 1 species
AUCACCCUCGACUCCCCUCUUACAACGAACCCCAACAGCUUACCGGCCCGCACUCUGAAAGUGCACUUACUCUGGUUCAACCUCAGUUUGAACUGUCUCAACCGGUCAACUCAGCUUGGCCAGAUCUGCCAGAUGCCCCUCUUCUGUUUGGGACUUUGCUAUCAUGUCAUCAUCAUAGCAUUUAGUUUCAUGAUGAAUCAUAUCAUGAAACAAAGUCACCAUGGCUCUCUGAUAAGUAGCACCAGCGUUCUGCUUCUAUGGAG